rnacentral:rRNA from 1 species
CCUACGGGCGACAGCAGUGAGGAAUAUUGGUCAAUGGACGCAAGUCUGAACCAGCCAUGCCGCGUGCGGGAAGACGGCUCUAUGAGUUGUAAACUGCUUUUGUACGAGGGUAAACGCAGGUACGCGUAUCUGUCUGAAAGUAUCGUACGAAUAAGGAUCGGCUAACUCCGUGCCAGCAGCCGCGGUAAUACGGAGGAUUCAAGCGUUAUCCGGAUUUAUUGGGUUUAAAGGGUGCGUAGGCGGUCGGAUAAGUUAGAGGUGAAAUCCCGAGGCUCAACUUCGGAAGUGCCUCUGAUACUGUCGGGCUAGAGAGUAGUAGAGGUAGGCGGAAUGCAUGGUGUAGCGGUGAAAUGCUUAGAGAUCAUACAGAACCCCGAUUGCGAAGGCAGCUUACC